rnacentral:rRNA from 1 species
UACAGAGGUCCCAAGCGUUGUUCGGAUUCAUUGGGCGUAAAGGGUGCGUAGGUGGCGCCGUAAGUGGGGUGUGAAAUUUCGGAGCUCAACUCCGAAACUGCAUUCCAUACUGCGGUGCUUGAGGACUGGAGAGGAGACUGGAAUUCACGGUGUAGCAGUGAAAUGCGUAGAGAUCGUGAGGAAGACCAGUGGCGAAGGCGGGUCUCUGGACAGUUCCUGACACUGAGGCACGAAGGCCAGGGGAGCAAACGGG